rnacentral:rRNA from 1 species
CUCAGACAUGCAAGUCGAACGCGAAAGUUCCCUUCGGGGAAUGAUUAGAGUGGCGUCCGGGUGAGUAACACGUGGGUAAUCUACCUUCGGGUGGGGAAUAACAGUCGGAAACGACUGCUAAUACCGCAUAAUGCAGCGGCACCUAAUGGUGACAGUUGUUAAAGCGGGGGAUCGCAAGACCUCGCGCCUGAAGAGGAGCCCGCGGCGGAUUAGCUAGUUGGUAGGGUAACGGCCUACCAAGGCUUCGAUCCGUAGCCGGCCUGAGAGGGCGGUCGGCCACACUGGCACUGACAUACGGGCCAGACUCCUACGGGAGGCAGCAGUCGGGAAUUUUGGGCAAUGGGCGAAAGCCUGACCCAGCAACGCCGCGUGAAGGAUGAAGCUUUUCGGAGUGUAAACUUCACAAGAAUGGGAAGAAUAAGUAGGGGAUAAUACCCCCUAUGAUGACGGUACCAUUUGUAAGCUCCGGCUAACUCCGUGCCAGCAGCCGCGGUAAUACGGGGGGAGCAAGCGUUGUUCGGAUUUACUGGGCGUAAAGGGCGCGUAGGCGGCGCAACAAGUCACUUGUGAAAUCUCCGGGCUUAACUCGGAGCGGCCAAGUGAUACUGUCGUGCUAGAGUGCGGAAGGGGCUACUGGAAUUCUCGGUGUAGCGGUGAAAUGCGUAGAUAUCGAGAGGAACACCUGCGGCGAAGGCGGGUAGCUGGGCCGACACUGACGCUGAGGCGCGAAAGCCAGGGGAGCGAACGGGAUUAGAUACCCCGGUAGUCCUGGCCUUAAACGAUGGAUACUUGGUGUCCGGGGUUACAUAGUCCCCGGGUGCCGGCGCUAACGCAUUAAGUAUCCCGCCUGGGGAGUACGGUCGCAAGACUGAAACUCAAAGGAAUUGACGGGGACCCGCACAAGCGGUGGAGCAUGUGGUUUAAUUCGACGCAACGCGAAGAACCUUACCUGGGCUAGAAUGCCUCCGACAACCCUAGAGAUAGGGCCUUCUGGGUAAAACCAGACGGAGUGCAAGGUGCUGCAUGGCUGUCGUCAGCUCGUGUC